rnacentral:rRNA from 1 species
UACGUAGGAUGCGAGCGUUGUUCGGAAUUACUGGGCGUAAAGAGUACGUAGGCGGUACGGUAAGUCUGACAUUAAAGACCGAAGCUCAACUUCGGGACUGUGUUGGAAACUGCAGUACUAGAGGGCAAUAGAGGAAGUCGGAAUUCUCAGUGUAGCGGUGAAAUGCGUAGAUAUUGGGAAGAACACCGGUGGCGAAAGCGGACUUCUGGGUUGUUACUGACGCUGAGGUACGAAAGCGUGGGGAGCAAACGGG